rnacentral:rRNA from 1 species
GACGAACGCUGGCGGCGUGCUUAACACAUGCGAGUCGAACGGAAAGGCCUCUUUCGGGGGGUACUCGAGUGGCGAACGGGUGAGUAACACGUGAGUAACCUGCCCUUGACUUUGGGAUAACUUCAGGAAACUGGGGCUAAUACCGGAUAGGAGCUCCUGCUGCAUGGUGGGGGUUGGAAAGUUUCGGCGGUUGGGGAUGGACUCGCGGCUUAUCAGCUUGUUGGUGGGGUAGUGGCUUACCAAGGCUUUGACGGGUAGCCGGCCUGAGGGGGUGACCGGCCACAUUGGGACUGAGAUACGGCCCAGACUCCUACGGGAGGCAGCAGUGGGGAAUAUUGCACAAUGGGCGGAAGCCUGAUGCAGCAACGCCGCGUGCGGGAUGACGGCCUUCGGGUUGUAAACCGCUUUCGCCUGUGACGAAGCGUGAGUGACGGUAAUGGGUAAAGAAGCACCGGCUAACUACGUG